GACGUGGAUAGGCUGGGUGUGUAAGUGCAGCGAUGCAUUGAGCUGACCAGUACUAAUGAACCGAGAGGCUUAACCUUACAACACCGAAGGUGUU
rnacentral:rRNA from 1 species